GUGUGCUGCAAGGGAGUGUAGGAUGAGGGGUGACCAAACAGCCCAGUGGGGACCGGGAUGACCACCGCCGGUCCAUAGAGGGGGUAGGAGAGCAGCUUCCACAGGUUACCGAAUAGGAGUCCAGGGAGAUCUGCCACCUUAGGUCUCCAGCAAUAUGUCACCUCGAGUUAGGAAUCGAUGUGCACAGGGGUAUACCUCCGACUUGUGAGGUAGCUGAUGUGGGGUGUAGCUGC